rnacentral:rRNA from 1 species
AUGGAGGACACGGCGGCGACGCUGGCGACGGAGCUGGACGGGCUGCUGGCCAUGGCGAGGGAGCUGGAGGUGCGCCUCGAAGGCGACCAGGGCGCGCCGGGUACCGCCAGGGAGCUCUGCGCCGCUCUGGCCGCGUCCGUCGACCGGGCCAUGAGACUCGCCGGGAGCAGCCCGCGCGGCGGCGGCGACGGCGAAGGCAAUGCCACCGGCAGGGCGAGCGUGAGCGGCAGGAAGGCCGCGGCGGGGAAGGUGAGGAGGCAGGUGCGGGUGGCGUCUGUGACGGACGUGGGGCCGCUCAACGACGGGCUCAGCUGGCGCAAGUACGGGCAGAAGGACAUCCUCGGCGCCCCGUACCCGCGGGCAUACUUCCGGUGCACGCACCGGCACUCGCAGGGCUGCCAGGCCACCAAGCAGGUGCAGCGCCCGCACGCCGACCCGCUGCUCUUCGACGUCGUGUACCACGGCGCGCACAUCUGCGCCCAGGCCGCCGUACGGCCAGAGCAGCAGAGCCCGCCGGCCGUGGCGCCGGAGGGGAUUCAGUGGCCGGUUACGCCGCCCUCGUUCCCCUCCCCGCCUGCCGGCACCGUUGGCGAAUACUACCCCUCCGUGUGCCAGCUUGACGGCGGCUACGGCUACGCUGCCGGCGGAGGCCUCGGGGCUGACAUGGGGUUCGGGAGUCAACAGGACGAGUGGUUCCUGAAUCUGUCCGAUGUUUUCCAACCCGAGGUUCAGAACCUGUAG